UACGGAGGAUGCAAGCGUUAUCCGGAUUUAUUGGGUUUAAAGGGUGCGUAGGCGGCCUGAUAAGCGUGAGGUGAAAUCCCGGAGCUCAACCCCGGAAUUGCCUCGCGAACUGUCGGGCUCGAAUGCUCCUGCCGUGGGAGGAAUGUGUGGUGUAGCGGUGAAAUGCAUAGAGAUCACACAGAACACCGAUUGCGAAGGCAUCUCACGAAGGGGCGAUUGACGCUGAGGCACGAAAGCGUGGGGAU
rnacentral:rRNA from 1 species